ensembl:lncRNA MIR124-2HG MIR124-2 host gene
GGGUUGUGGGCGUUUGUCUCCAUGUUAGGGAGAGGCAACUGAGAACGGUGACUUUGGCUUGUUUUGAGAGAGCCUGGGUUUUGACAGCAGGACGGCGAAGGGAGCGCUUGGAGAGGCUGGAAGCUCGACGUCUUAGGGAGCUGCCUGCGGGCACUGGGUUGACGCCAAGAGGUUGUCGGCAAGGGCAGGGCUCUUGCCCUCUGCUGUACCUAGGCUCUGCAACUGGGGGCUGCGAGCCUUCUGCGGCUCUUUGGUUUCAAGGACACAGCGAGCUGCUCAGGACUUUGGGAGCCAACAUCUGUCUGACUGGUGACGUCAGCAGCCCGUGUAAUCCUCUUGUGCUGAAGGCAGAUGCCUUAUUUGUUUGGCUGGAGCGAGCCAUUAAUCCCUAAUUCUGGAUCAGCAAGCGAGGGGGAAAGACCGGACCGCUCCGACCCACCCCCUCCCUACCCCCACCUCCCACCUUAAAGCACCUUAUACCACGGAAGGCUCUCAGCCUCUUCUUUCCUCUGCGAACGCGCUGAGCAGCGAUUGAAAACGUUUUGGUCCUCUGCAGCUCCCGAAAUCGUUUCUCUGGACGCGGCAGUAUCCGCAGCGCAUGCACCCUCCUCUGGACUUCCGCAGCCCAGACCUGCGCUUACAGUCAUCGCGCCACCCCCUCCCCCCGGGCUGCGGGCCCCGCGCUCCGUGGGCUCAGGGUCCCCUCCGCGUCCCCCUGAAGCCUGGGGACGGAGGUCGCGACCGGCCGACUGGGGUCCUGUCCUCUUGUCACCUUGUAUCCCUCGCAUGCUCCCUCCCGCCUCGUGUCCCUCUCCCCACCCUCCCCCUCCUCUCUCCCGCCUCCCUAACACUGCGCUUUGAUUCUGUUUUUCAGGGGCGCAUUCUGGGGUCUCUGCGCAAGACCAGCUCUCAGCUCUCUCUCCUUUCCUCGGACUCUGGAGCGGGAGCGGGCCUUUCCCUCGGGUCGACCACGCCGUAGGGGACGCCGUGAAAAGAGCCGUCGCGCCCGCUGCCUCCUGCCCGCUGCGCAGAGGGCUCCGCCCGUAGAGGUCAACUUCCCUCACCCUUUUCUCUCUCCUGCUUGCCCUCCCUCCGCCCGGCCCAGGCGCUUCCAGCCCCAGACUGUGGCCACUGGCUGAGGAGUGCGAGUCGGCUGCGCUGCCCUGAGCCUAAUCCCUCUUCCGGGCCCAGACCCGAGGUCCGCGCUCCUGGGCAGUGGGGAAGCUUUAGUGAGCAGGCUUUUCUCUCCGCAGCAAACUUGUAGCCAGACCAGAUGGGCCGCCCAGCUCUCUCGGGACUAGGCAGGUGCGGAUGAGUUAAUUUUUCCGCAUUACAAAGAAAGAUGACCCAGCCCGCCCUUGGACUCUCUUUUCCCAAAAUCUCCCAACCAAACCCGCGGUAACGUUAUCAAAGGACACAGAGCCCAGGCAUAUCUGUGUGUUUAUCUUACAGGCACACACGCAUGGUUUUCUCUUUUAUAUGCUAGAUUUCAUCCCUGACAGCAGAAAAUGAUUGGCAAUGGUUAUGACGGAGAACAUGCAAUAGCGUGGUCCUUAAAAACCUGCCAUUCCUUACAAGUGCCUUAGAAAGGAUUCAGGGCGAACCAACUGGGUUAAUUGCAUUCAGUAAAAUAACACGAUUACAAAAUUA